rnacentral:tRNA from 1 species
AGGGAUGUAGCUCAGUGGUAGAGUACUUGCUUGUUAAGCAUAAGACCAUGGGUUCAAUCCCCAAGUACCUG